GACGAACGCUGGCGGCGUGCCUAAUACAUGCAAGUAGAACGCUGAAGAGAGGAGCUUGCUCUUCUUUGAUGAGUUGCGAACGGGUGAGUAACGCGUAGGUAACCUGCCUUGUAGUGGGGGAUAACUAUUGGAAACGAUAGCUAAUACCGUAUAACAAUAUGUGACACAUUUCUUUUUUUUGAAAGUGGCAAUUUCUCCACUACAAGAUGGACCUGCGUUGUAUUAGCUAGUAGGUGAGGUAACGGCUCACCUAGGCGACGAUACAUAGCCGACCUGACAGGGUGAGCGGCCAGACUGGGACUGAGACACGGCCCAGACUCCUACGGGAGGCAGCAGUAGGGAAUCUUCGGCAAUGGGGGCAACCCUGACCGAGACACGCCGCGUGAGUGAAGAAGGAUGUCGGAUCGUAAAGCUCUGUUGUAAGUCAAGAACGAGUGUGAGAGUGGAAAGUUCACACUGUGACGGUAGCUGACCAGAAAGGGACGGCUAACUACGUG
rnacentral:rRNA from 1 species